rnacentral:rRNA from 1 species
GACGAACGCUGGCGGCGUGCUUAACACAUGCAAGUCGAACGGAAAGGCCCUGCUUUUGUGGGGUGCUCGAGUGGCGAACGGGUGAGUAACACGUGAGUAACCUGCCCUUGACUUUGGGAUAACUUCAGGAAACUGGGGCUAAUACCGGAUAGGAGCUCCUGCUGCAUGGUGGGGGUUGGAAAGUUUCGGCGGUUGGGGAUGGACUCGCGGCUUAUCAGCUUGUUGGUGGGGUAGUGGCUUACCAAGGCUUUGACGGGUAGCCGGCCUGAGAGGGUGACCGGCCACAAUGCGACUGAGAUACGGCCCAGACUCCUACGGGAGGCAGCAGUGGGGAAUAUUGCACAAUGGGCGGAAGCCUGAUGCAGCAACGCCGCGUGCGGGAUGACGGCCUUCGGGUUGUAAACCGCUUUCGCCUGUGACGAAGCGUGAGUGACGGUAAUGGGUAAAGAAGCACCGGCUAACUACGUG